rnacentral:rRNA from 1 species
AAAAAAAAAAACACGUAAGUAACCUACCCUUGACUUUGAUAUAAAUUCAUGAAACUGGGGCUACUACCGGCUAGUAGCUCCUGCUGCAUGAUUGGGGUUUGAAAUUUUCGGCGGUUUUGGAUGGACUCGCGGCUUAUCAACUUGUUUGUUGGGUAGUGGCUUCCCACGGCUUUGACGGUUAGCCGGCAUGAGAGGGUGACUGGCCAGAUUGGGAAUGAGAUACGGCCCAGACUCCUAAGGGAGUAAGCAGUGGUGAAUAUUGUACAAUGGGCGGAAGACUGAUGCAGCAACGUUUUUUUUUU